rnacentral:tmRNA from 1 species
GGGGCUGAUUCUGGAUUCGACGGGAUUCGCGAAACCCAAGGUGCAUGCCGAGGGGCGGUUGGCCUCGUAAAAAGCCGCAAAAAAAUAGUCGCAAACGACGAAAACUACGCACUAGCAGCUUAAUAACCUGCUUAGAGCCCUCUCUCCCUAGCCUCCGCUCUUAGGACGGGGAUCAUGAGAGGUCAAACCUAAAAGAGAUCGCGUGGAUGCCCUGCCUGGGGUUGAAGCGUUAAAACUAAUCAGGCUAGUUUGUUAGUGGCGUGUCCGUUCGCAGCUGACAAGCGAAUGUAAAGACUGGACUAAGCAUGUAGUACCGAGGAUGUAGGAAUUUCGGACGCGGGUUCAACUCCCGCCAGCUCCACCA